rnacentral:tmRNA from 1 species
GGGGAUGAUCGGUUUCGACAUCGGCUGUCCAGGCAGGGGAAGCGAGCCGAGGAAGCGACAAUGAUCUCGUUAACCAUAUGUCGCAAAAAAAUAAUCGCCGACAACAAGCGCGAUUCCUUCACCCUCGCUGCCUGAGCAACGAGCGUGAAGUGUCAGCCCGGGGGUGUUCCCGCCCCGGUGCCUGGCAUCAGCUAGGGGACUCACCACCAGCUCCGGUCACGGGAGCUGACUGGGACACCUCACAGUGACUGGGCCUGUCGGGAGCUUGUCCGUGUGACUCCCGGGGCCGAGAAAAGCGCAGCGGACUGCGCUCGGAGAAGCCCUGUCUCUGCACCGAUGGACGCGGGUUCGAUUCCCGCCAUCUCCACUC